rnacentral:tRNA from 1 species
AAUGUUAUGUCUGAUAAAAGUAAUAAAUUGUAAAUUUAUUUAUGAAAUUUUUAAUUUCUAACAUUA